rnacentral:lncRNA from 1 species
AGCUUUCCCAGCACUGUUUGAGUUGCUCAUCCUACUGAAUACUCCCCCACAAACUCUGCCCUGUGCAUUAAUCACCAUUAGCAUCACCAAGGCCAGGACAGGGAUUGCAGCAACCUGGGAUGGUGAAAAAUGUCACUGCCCAUGGUUGGGGGUGGCACUGGGCAGGAUUUAAGGAUCAAACCAGUUUGAGUCUGGGAUUCCAGGUGUGUCCAGUUGUUGUGACUGGAACAUCAGGUCUUCCUAUUGCAGUGUUUUGAGGGAUUGGUGAGUGUGUGGGAGGUAAAUGAAGGAGAUGCUGGGAAAUAUUGAUAUUUUUAACAGUUUGAGAAAUUAUCUUUCACUCCUCUUUUUUCAGGAAAUUUGACCAAAGCAUGUCUGACAUAGUGGUGAGGAGAUUUUGUCACAUUGCCAAGGACAGGUAUUCUGAGUGUGGAGAACAAUGAACAGCAAUGGAGAGAAACACGGAACACAAAUUUUUUAGAAACUGGGAAUCAUCAAAAUACAAAAAGGUUACCGGGCUGCCGCUGCAUUUCACUUUGGACAAGCACAGAUGAGUGCAAAAAGCCUGGAAACUGGUUGGAUUGCUCUGAUGCAGCCCCAUGGUCAUUCAAAGGGAAGGAGGUGGCUGGUUACACCUAGUCUUGGUGUAAGUGUUAAAUUUAAUCUCAGAACACUUACUGGAAUUAACUUGGACUCAGAACACCCACGGGAUUGA